rnacentral:rRNA from 1 species
UACGUAGGAGGCAAGCGUUGUCCGGAAUUACUGGGCGUAAAGCGCGUGUAGGUGGUGGGACAAGUCUGCUGUGAAAGCGCCUGGCUUAACCGGGCGAGGUCGGCGGAAACUGUCCGACUCGAGGACGGUAGAGGGGGGUGGAAUUCCCGGGUGUAGUGGUGAAAUGCGUAGAGAUCGGGAGGAACACCUGUGGCGAAAGCGGCGCACUGGACCACAACUGACGCUGAGGCGCGAAAGCUAGGGGAGCAAACAGG